CGAAUUAUUUCAGCCUCCCCAACCUCGCGUCCAUCUCUACUGUCGUUCUCAACUCUGAACUUGCCCCUCCUCUAUCUCUCUCUCUGCAACUGUACAAGAAUCAAAAGUUCAAAACCCAUAUAUUUCAGUUUGUAUAUCUGUCUGCAAGAAUCAAAAGUUCAAAACCCAUAUCGGCAUAUCAUUUCAGAUUUCGCAAGCUUCAGCCGCUGUCUCUCAACUCUCAAGCUUUCCUCCCUCUCUCUGUAACUGCUAACUUGAACUGAGUUGAUACAAAAAUGCCAAGGGUAAUUCCCAUGCUUGGUUGCUGGCUGGAAAGUGCUAAAAUUUACUGUCCAUGUUCUAUAUUGUCUUUUGCAGGGCAGUGGAAGUGUGUGGUGGGAGGCAGAAGAAACACCAGAAGGUUAUGAGUGCUAUGAAAAUGGAAUCGGCAAUUUUACCGGAAAACCUGUGAAGAUAUCAGUUACUAGCUACAAAGAACAUGAUAAGCUCACAGCCGAAAAAGUAAUGUAAAAAAUAAGUUGCUACGACAAUCCGAAUAUUGCAAAGAUCAAGUACCAUAAAUUCGAAGAGGGGGUAACAACACUAGUCUUGGAUCGCUUGGGAGCAAGUUUUAUUCGUUGGGUUUGGGAUAAUGAACCCAAUUUGGCUCUAUGGCAUAUUGACAGUGGCAUUAUGAUUCGUCCGGAAAAAGACUUUUUGAGUGUGUUCAAGGGAAUUAUAGAAGGACUGGACGAUUGCAUUCAAAAUGAUAGCUUUCAUGGAAAUUUGUUCCAUGGUGUUACGGUGAUGGAAAACAAUAUGGUCAAAUUAUUCUGGCCUGGUGAAUUCGAGCUAGGAUUUGUAGAAGGUGUUCGAAAAGACCUUCUAGAGUUAAGAGGCUUAGUAGGCUUUACAGUGGGUGCAGUCAAACGUAAGAAAUCUUUGCUGGAGGCUAUUGCAGAUAAAAGAGGUUGGGGUAGCUGUCUCUCCCUUUUUUGGGAGACAAUGACCGAGAGACUUCCAGAGUGUAACUCGCAUGAAAAAAUGAAAAAUUUCUAGUUUUUUGUUAAAAACGAUCCCCUCUUUUGGGAUGCCAAUGGAUGCUACAAAUUGAUGUGGAAGUGUUGGGACAUGCGUGUUAUGUGGCCUGUGUUUGAGGAAGUAGAAUUUAACGUGCCUCCAACCGUGAUGAAAAAAUGGGACUGCAAAAUUGACAAUUCAAGUUGUUUGCGUAGUAUUUUUUGGAUUGGAGAUGCAGAGAAUGCGGCUGGACAGUUGAGCUUUAAGUUUAACACAGGUUCUCAGGGACACGAGAAAGAGGUAUGCUCUUUUUUUUUUUAUUAAACAUUAUGGGUAAUUUUUUUGGACAGAUGUAUCCAACAAAGCUACACGCUGAAGUAUGGAAAGAAUUGCUCUUACAGCUACCGGAUUUUGCUCCAUUGUAUUAUUAUCGUCUAGUGCAGCUGAUUUACUCGAAAGCGGCUACUGGCGAAAUUGACAUUGGUAAUCUGAUUCACUGUUUGAAGGAAAGCCCGUACAAGUUCAAAUGAAUUCAAGGCUUCAACGCCAAGUUUGAUGAUGCCUCCUCUCUCUCUCUCUCUCUCUCUCUCUCUCUCUCUCUCUCUCUAUAUAUAUAUAUAUAUAUAUAUAUAUAUAUAUAUAUAUACACGCAGAAUUUCCAAAGACUAGUAUUUCAUAUUCGGUGCAAAUGUUUUGUGAUAACUAAAUCAUAAGUGUGACUUAUUCUUUUAAGUAUGUCUCCUUUUUUUGAAUGGUUGAAAAUUUACUACCACCAA